AUAAAUGGACAAGUUGAUACAUCGAUAGACCGAUAGACAUAUACAGGCAAACACUUAGAGAGACACACAGAUAGGAUGAGAUCGAUGAUAGAUACAUACAUACAUACAUACAUAUAUACAUAGAUUGAUAGACACAGACAGAUAUAUACAUAGUUAGAUAUCACAGAUGGACAGAAAAGUAGACUGAAGUAUCGAAAGAUUAAUAAACAGAGAGAAUGACAGAUAGUGAAACAGAGGGUCAGCACAGAGAGAGGCAGAGAGAGUCAAGCAGAUCGAUUCAUAGACAUGAAAAGUCAAAUAUCAAGAAAGAUAGACUUGGGUAGACAGAUUCAAAGAGAGAGAGAUAGACGGAAAGAUCACUAAGUUGAUAUGAAGAGAAGGAAAGAGAAAUAGACUUCCAGACACACACAAACUAAUGGAUAAAAAGAUAGGACAGAGGAACAGACAGACAGACACGUGAGCAGACAUACUGACAGACAGAUUAAUAUCUCUGUCAUUCUUUCUGACUGCCUUCCUUUCUUUGUAUCUACAAGUCUAUCUCACUGGAUGUGCAACUGUCUAUCUAUCCAGAUUUUUCUAUCUAUCUAUCUAUCUAUCUAUCUAUCUAUCUAUCUAUCUAUCUGUCUGUCUGUCUGUCUGUCUGUCAAUCUUUAUCUUUGUGUAUCUAUCGCUGUAGUCUAGGUAUCUAUCUGCCUGCCUGUUUCUGCAUGGAUCAAUCUAUAUGUAGAUCCUUUGUGUAUUUUAAAGUGUUGUGACAUCCUGGAGAACUACAACUCCCAGUGUGCCCCACGAGUCCCACUCCUCUGAGUCCUAGAUUGGGGCUGGUCUGGCAAUGGACCAAUCCCACGUUGAGGGAGGGUCAAUGUGCAUGGUCCCUCCUUAGCAUGGGAUUGGUCCAAUUCAAGACCAAUCCCAUGAAAGGAAAAUGGGCAUCAUCCCUUUCCCAGCAUAGCAUUGGUCCAAAUCAAGACCAAUCCCUCUCCGGAAAUAAGUUGGAAAGACCCCUAGAGCACACUGGGAGAUGUAGUCCACUAGACCACAACCCUUGAAAACCCACAAGAUCUCUCUCUAUGAAUCUAUGUAGACAUUGAGAUGGACAGCAUAACAGACAGAAGGACUGAUAGAUUAUUUGUUCUGUUAUUCUGUCUAUUUGCCUAUUUGUUGGUAUAUCUCUCAGCCUCUCUGUGUUUCUUUUUUGGGUUUUCAAGUGUUGUGACAGCCUGGGGAACUACAACCCCCAUUGUGCCCCUGGAGUCCCUCCCCUUUGAGUCGUGGCUUGGGAUUGGUCCAGAAUUGGACCAAUCCCGUGGUGGGGGAUGAACAAUGCCCAUGGCCUCUCCUUAGUCCAGGAUUGGUCAAUCUCAAUGCCAAUCACGCACAUUAAUAUAGGGAGCAUCCUUACUCACCCAGGGAAUGAUUGGUCCAAUUCAAGACCAUUCACUCCAAGGAAAUAUGGGGGAGACACCCCUGGAGCACACUGGGGGAUGCAGUUCCUCAGACCACAACCCAAGAAAAGCCACACUAUCUGUAGCUCAUUAUGCAUGUAGACUGAGAGGUGGAGAAGGUGACAGACGGACAGGAGGACUGACAGACAGAGUGCUUCCUUUAUCUGUUAUUCUGUUUUACUGCCUUCUUUUUAAUGUAUGUGUCAAUCUGUCGAUCGGUCUGCCCAUCAGUCCUCUCUGGGUAUCUAUCUCUAUAUACGUUUCCACCCAAACAUAUCGGAAUAAGUGGUUGCUGGCAAGCAAAGCAUAUGAUGGUGUCCCUGUGGUUUUCAGAUGGCUCAGCAGAUGUAUUUGGUUCAAGAUUGGAGGGGGAGUGGCAGACGUACACUUUGGCCAGUGAGGUGAGUGGCUGUUGCAGACUUCAUGAUGGGUCCAAACACUUCUCAGACUCUUCCAUGAGGUGCUGGAUUCUUGAAUAGGGAAGCAAGGAAUCAAUAGCUCAGAGGCUAAGCUCUGCGCCUUACUUACAGGGAUCUUAACCUGUUGUCCUGACUUUUCUCAAAAAGGAGCAUUUACUAAACAAGAAUGGCAUUUCCUCGGGCAGGCUAUGAAACAAAGUGAGGCAAAAGGACACAGAAUGUUACUGCCUUUGGGAUCCCAUGCAAUCUAGUGAAGAUAUUGCACAAACUAUGGAGAGUUGAGCUGUUCCUCAGCUGCAGACCCCACCUUUCAUUGCUUGUACUCACUCUUCUUGCCCCUUUGAAUGAGAUGGCCAAAGAGAAACAACCCUUCCUUAAUGCUGCAGAUGCCAAGAACCAGCCCCAUGUCCUGGGGCAAACCUCCUCCCCAAACCCCUUGUUUCUGGGUCCUGUACUCACUGCUGUCAAAUGAUAGCUAAACCGCAGCAUGGAGGCAUGAUGUCUGGCUGUCCUCCCAAGGAGCAGCUUUUGCAUCCAUGCUCUUCCACCUCGGCUGCCUCUUGACCACAUUCAACAUGACUUUCCAAAUCAAUAAAAUGUCUCUUUUAUUUUGAA